AUUGAACGCUGGCGGCAGGCCUAACACAUGCAAGUCGAACGGCAGCACAGAAGAGCUUGCUCUUUGGGUGGCGAGUGGCGGACGGGUGAGUAAUGUCUGGGAAACUGCCCGAUGGAGGGGGAUAACUACUGGAAACGGUAGCUAAUACCGCAUAACGUAGCGAGACCAAAGUGGGGGACCUUCGGGCCUCACACACUCGGAUGGGCCCAGAUGGGAUUAGCUAGUAGGUGGGGUAAUGGCUCACCUAGGCGACGAUCCCUAGCUGGUCUGAGAGGAUGACCAGCCACACUGGAACUGAGACACGGUCCAGACUCCUACGGGAGGCAGCAGUGGGGAAUAUUGCACAAUGGGCGCAAGCCUGAUGCAGCCAUGCCGCGUGUAUGAAGAAGGCCUUCGGGUUGUAAAGUACUUUCAGCGGGGAGGAAGGCGGUGAGGUUAAUAACCUUGCUGAUUGACGUUACCCGCAGAAGAAGCACCGGCUAACUCCGUGCCAGCAGCCGCAGUAA
rnacentral:rRNA from 1 species